AGAAUCAACGCUGGCGGCGUGCCUAACACAUGCAAGUCGAACGAGAAAGUGGAGCAAUCCAUGAGUAAAGUGGCGCACGGGUGAGUAACACGUGACUAACCUACCCUUGAGUGGGGGAUAACCUAGGGAAACCUGGGCUAAUACCGCAUAAUAACCUUCGGGUCAAAGGAGCAAUUCGCUUAAGGAGGGGGUCGCGGCCGAUUAGUUAGUUGGCGGGGUAAUGGCCCACCAAGACUGUGAUCGGUA
rnacentral:rRNA from 1 species